GGCGGGAGAAGCUCAUCAAUGUCGCGUGCUGAGCGCUCAUCCCUUUCUUCGAAGGUCUGAGAUGGGGCCUCCCCGCAGCCCUAACAGGGCUCUUCCCGAAUGGGGAAGUGAGUUCCCAGGAAGCAGAGCUCCAUGCAUGGGCAACUGGGCAGGAGAGGCCCUGAGUGGGCAGAUGCCUCACUCAUCCAAGUUCAGGACCCACUCAGGGUCAGGUGUGGAGUCACACAAUCCUAGAUC
rnacentral:RNase_P_RNA from 1 species